UACGUAGGGGGCAAGCGUUGUCCGGAAUCAUUGGGCGUAAAGCGCGCGUAGGCGGCCCGGUAAGUCCGCUGUGAAAGUCAAAGGCUCAACCUUUGAAAGCCGGUGGAUACUGUCGGGCUAGAGUCCGGAAGAGGCGAGUGGAAUUCCUGGUGUAGCGGUGGAAUGCGCAGAUAUCAGGAGGAACACCGAUGGCGAAGGCAGCUCGCUGGGACGGUACUGACGCUGAGGCGCGAAAGCGUGGGGAGCGAACAGG
rnacentral:rRNA from 1 species